rnacentral:tRNA from 1 species
CAAAUUAGAGCUUGAGUAAUAAGUAUUUCAUUUACAUUGAAAAGAUAUUAAUAAAUAAUUAAUUUGA